rnacentral:rRNA from 1 species
UACGAAGGGGGCUAGCGUUGUUCGGAUUUACUGGGCGUAAAGCGCACGUAGGCGGAUCUUUAAGUCAGAGGUGAAAUCCCAAGGCUCAACCUUGGAACUGCCUUUGAUACUGGGGAUCUUGAGUCCGGGAGAGGUGAGUGGAACUGCGAGUGUAGAGGUGAAAUUCGUAGAUAUUCGGAAGAACACCAGUGGCGAAGGCGGCUCACUGGACUGGUAUUGACGCUGAGGUGCGAAAGCGUGGGGAGCAAACAGG